GGGUCGGUAGCUCAGGUGGUUAGAGCGCACGCCUGAUAAGCGUGAGGUCGGAGGUUCAAGUCCUCCUCGACCCACCA
rnacentral:tRNA from 1051 species